GGGAGUAUAGCUAAGCUGGCUACAGUAUUUGCUUUGCAAGCAGAAGAUCAUUGGUUCAAAUCCAAUUACUUCCA
rnacentral:tRNA from 1 species